rnacentral:rRNA from 1 species
CAGUGCAAUCCGUUGCACUAUCGUUAACUGAAUACAUAGGUUAACGAGGCGAACCGGGGGAACUGAAACAUCUAAGUACCCCGAGGAAAAGAAAUCAACCGAGAUUCCCCCAGUAGCGGCGAGCGAACGGGGAGCAGCCCAGAGUCUGAAUCAGCUUGUGUGUUAGUGGAAGCGUCUGGAAAGUCGCACGGUACAGGGUGAAAGUCCCGUACACGAAAAUGCACAGGCUGUGAACUCGAAGAGUAGGGCGGGACACGUGGUAUCCUGUCUGAAUAUGGGGGGACCAUCCUCCAAGGCUAAAUACUCCUGACUGACCGAUAGUGAACCAGUACCGUGAGGGAAAGGCGAAAAGAACCCCGGCGAGGGGAGUGAAAAAGAACCUGAAACCGUGUACGUA